ACGACGAGGCUCUCGCGAACCUUGCGCAAAUUUCUCGCACGCGAAUAAAAGUUGGUUUACAGUAUCUUGAAUCUAGACAGGGUAAUCAUGGUAAUGUUUUUAUUUUAGUAUAUGAUUUUUCACGCUAUAUUACUAAACGAUGUCGUCAAUUUCUUAUGAAUUGUUUUAGGUUUAAGAAAAAAAACCUCUGGUUUUAUCAAUUUCUUUCACACCUUUUUAAUACCAUAUACAUUAUUUUCAAUGCAUGUCAUUUAUUAAGUAUACAAAAGUUUAGUAUUCAUCCGUAUGUUUUGAUAGAGUGUUUUAAAUUUUGAAAAAAAGGUGCUUAAAUAUUAUGUUUUUAAUUCAUGUUUAUACAGUUUACUUUGAUAUGAAUUUUUUUUUUAUUGUAAAAACUAAAACUGAUGAGUUUUAUUGAAGUUUGAAAUAAAAAAAAUAUUACUCCAUAAAAUC
rnacentral:sRNA from 1 species